AAAAUUAUAGUUUAUAAAAAAUAUUUAAUUUGCAAUUAAAAGAAACAUUUGUUAAUUUUA
rnacentral:tRNA from 1 species